UAGCCUACGGGGGGCAGCAGUAGGGAAUCUUCCACAAUGGGCAAAAGCCUGAUGGAGCAACGCCGCGUGGGUGAAGAAGGUCUUCGGAUCGUAAAACCCUUUUUUUCGAGAAGACCUUUCGUUAGAUUAACUGUUCACUUUUCUACGGUAUCUAACCAUAAAGCCCCUUCUAACUCCUUUCCAGCAGCCGCUCUAAUACUUCUUUGGCAAGCUUUCUCCGGAUUUAUUUUGCGUAAAUAUAACUCCUUGUUGCUUUUA
rnacentral:rRNA from 1 species